rnacentral:rRNA from 1 species
UACGUAGGGUGCGAGCGUUAAUCGGAAUUACUGGGCGUAAAGCGUGCGCAGGCGGUUUGCUAAGACAGGUGUGAAAUCCCCGGGCUUAACCUGGGAAUUGCGCUUGUAACUGGCAGGCUAGAGUGUAGCAGAGGGGGGUAGAAUUCCACGUGUAGCAGUGAAAUGCGUAGAUAUGUGGAGGAAUACCGAUGGCGAAGGCAGCCCCCUGGGUUAACACUGACGCUCAUGCACGAAAGCGUGGGGAGCAAACAGG